rnacentral:rRNA from 1 species
GAUCAUGGCUCAGGAUGAACGCUGGCGGCGUGCUUAACACAUGCAAGUCGAACGGGAAACCUAUUAUUGAAACUUCGGUUGAUUUAGUUGGUUUCUAGUGGCGGACGGGUGAGUAACGCGUGGGUAACCUGCCCUAUACAGGGGGAUAACAACCAGAAAUGAUUGCUAAUACCGCAUAAGCGCACAGGACCGCAUGGUCCAGUGUGAAAAACUCCGGUGGUAUAGGAUGGACCCGCGUUGGAUUAGCUAGUUGGG